UUUCACUGAUGUUUUGGAUUCUCCUUUUCAUUCGUUUUCAUCUUCCAGCGCUUUUAAUCACGUCGCACAUUCUCCCUUUCAUGUCUUUCGUUUCCUUCGAUCGUGUGAGCAGAACCGGAACAGAGCACGAGCGAGGCGAGGUAGAGCGCGAAUGAGGCGAAGCAGAUGAGAUUGAAGGCGGAUUUCAAUCUUCUGGGCUUUGGGGGUUCUUUGCUUCUUGCAGAAAUUGGUGGAAUGAUAUGGGGUUUAGGGUUUCUGCCGCUCUUUCCAUCAUCAGGAUUUGGUCUGGACAGCCUUCCUUCCAAGAUUAAUCUGAACCAGAGCAUGUCAUUUCCGUCAUCAUCGUCCAGGUUUUGCGAAUACUAGGAGACGACAACGUGCGGCCACAAAAGGGCUCCCAUGAAGUCCUCAGCAAGCGCCGACGAUUUCCGGAAUUUUCGUCAAAUUUCGGGAGAGUUGCCCAUGAAAUCGUCGUUGGGGGGUUCUCUAAGGACUAAGUUGUUCGUGAAGCACUAGAGCCAUUGGAUGAAUUGAAGCAAGGGUGACUGAGGAAGUGGUGAAUGAUGGGGAGGGUUUUUUUUUGAAGAAUUUGGGUGAUGAGAAGCCUGCAACCAAGGAAAAAGAGGCAGCAUAUGGAAACAAGGAAAGCCCUGUUAAUGAAAGUGAAGAAAAGGAGCCUGAGGACAAGGAGAUGACACUGGAGGAAUAUGAGAAGGUGCUGGAAGAGAAAAGAAAAGCCCUGCAAGCACUCAAGACUGAAGUGAGAAAGGUGGAUGCAAAGGAGUUUGAAUCCAUGCAGCCACUUUCCCACAAGAAAGACAACGAUGAGAUCUUUGCUAAAUUGGGAUCUGACAAGGAUAAGCGCAGAGAUGCUAUUGAGAAGGAGAAAUCAAAGAAGUGGUUCAAUGAGGGAUGCCUUCUUUUUUAUUACUGCCACUGCAAUUUGGAUGGCAGCAAUUCGGCAGGACGAACGAAGCCCCAUCUGCUGCCCCGUCUCUUUCAUAUCUCACUCUUCACUACAACUUUUCAUUCUAAUUCUUCUUUCUUUUUACAAAUCAUGUUGUGAUCCAACUUAAUUUUGUUUUGGCUACUUUUUUCUAGCAGAAAAGGGGAAGGUAAGCAACACAACAAUGAAAAUGACUCCCUUUCCGAGAAUCGCGACAGGAUCAAUGAGCAAGCUGAUUCUCCACCUCUGGUGGCUUCUCUGUCUUAUAUACCAGCAUGGAUUUAGGGUGAAGAGGAGCACAGCGGUGUAUCCAGCAAGUCGUCCUUUUCCUCCUCUGAUUCUCACCAUCGAUGGAAACCAAGGAGGGCGAGUGAAGCAGCAAGCACCAUUGAACGCCGAGUGGUGAACCCUUUGAAUGAGUGUCACGGUUUCGAUGCUGCUCCUUUUUCCAUGUUCCGCGCUCCUAACCUCGAUUAUGUGGUGCUUUUUUGGUGUUCAACACCGCAGCACAUUGAUUAUGGUGGUGAAUCACCCCCCAUGAGGUCAAUGUUAGUAGGUUUUGGUUGCUCAAAAGUUCCUUCUUAAUGAGAGUGUUUUUUUCUCUGCAAUUUUAGGGUUUGAUCUCUCAAGUUCUGAAAUUAUGUUUUGCUACUGAUGUUGUGGGUCUCUCUUGAGGUCCUAUUUUCAUGUGAGUAUGUCUUCCAUUGUUUGUUUUAUGCCAAAAUAAUUUACUAAACAUAUGACUUUGCCUAUUGUAGCAGAUAAUGUUUGCCUGAAUAUAUCACGCCAUGGUUCAGCAAAAUUUUAUUUUAUUCAAUCUCCAAUACUCAGGACUAGGCUCCUCCACCUUCCUCCUUGCUUGCCAAAUCUGGCGGUGCCAAGAAGAAGGUUUGCGUUUCUCUCUUUUUUUGGUUUCGUUUCUUUUUCUCCCCUUAAUGUAAUAUCUCUUGAUGGGAGUAAUCGGUUGGAUUUGUUUUAUUAUCCAUGAUGGGUGUCAGAGCUCACAUAAAAAAUUUGAUACCAAUAAUUUUCUACAAAGAAUAAAUUUUUGUUACGAUUUAUGCAAUAUGAAAGAUGGGGUGUGUGGUAUAAAGGUCAUAUAUUUGUGCUAACCAUAGGUGGAGCAAGGGAUCGAAAAAGGAUCAAGCCAGCUAUGACAAGCUUCUCAGUGAAGCACCCAAAUACAAACUCCUCACUCCUUCCAUUCUCUCUGAAGUCUGAUUGUUUAAGGAUGUCUCUUUUUCUCCCUGUCUUUUAGUUAGUUCUGAUAUAUAUUAUUCAUGUUGAUGAGGAAUCAUGUGUUGGUGUUGUUUUGGUGAAUAUUCUGUGUUAUGGUUACAUUUGAUCUCAUUUCGUACUUGACGCUGAGACAGGUGGAGUUGUCGGAGUAAGACCAAACAAUGGUGGAUGAAUGUUUAAUGGCAAGAUUUCGCUGGACAAAAAGGUUUGCUUUCUGUUUCUUUGAUUUACAUCUUUGUGUCUUUAGGUAAUGCCAUCUACUUCUAUAUUUAUUUUUCUAUUAUCUCAUUAAAAAAACCUAUUUUUCCUUACUACUGUUUUAUACAUGUUCCGCUCCUCUGCUGCGUGUAAUGAACACAAGUGGAGAUGAUCAGGAAGUGGGGGUCCUGGAGUUUAUCAGGUAAACUUCUUUAUUAACUACUUUAUCCAUCUCUUAUGGUCAAGAAUCUUGGUCCACUGAUUGCGCUCCAAAAACAUGAUUUUCUGACACUUUUGUGAGGAGGCUGGGUUUGUGGAUGUUGCCCAUGUUCCUAAGCUUUCAAUGCCGGAAAUAUUUCAUGGACUGCAGGUACAUCCAACUUCACAAAGUUGUAAAGUGUACCAAGAUAUAGAAAAACUAUAAAUUGUAUCAAGUUUUCAUGUUUUCUCAACUUUCUUUCUUUUGUGGGCUUAGGAUAUCCAAUCACUAAAGCUAUCAGUUGUAGUCAGGUUGAUUAUAUAUUUAGCAGAAUUAUCAUGGUAGCACAUGUAUGUAAUAUUUAGCAGUUUCAUCACGAUUUUUUUCCUUAUAUAUAAAAUUCAUUUUUUCGUUUUA